UGCCAGCCGCCGCGGUAAUACGAAGGGUGCUAGCGUUGUUCGGAAUUACUGGGCGUAAAGAGCAUGUAGGUGGUUUGAUAAGUCAGAGGUGAAAGCCCACCGCUUAACGGUGGAAUUGCCUUUGAUACUGUCAGACUUGAAUAAGGUUGAGGUCGGCGGAAUGUGUCAUGUAGCGGUGAAAUGCAUAGAUAUGACAUAGAACACCAAUUGCGAAGGCAGCUGGCUAGACCUUUAUUGACACUGGGGCACGAAAGCGUGGGGAGCGAACAGGAUUAGAUA
rnacentral:rRNA from 1 species